GAUGGGAUAUAUGAUAGGAGGGGAUAGGAUGGGACGGGGUAGGAUAUGAUAUAUGAAGGGAUGGGAUAGGAUAAAUGAUGGGAUGGGAUAGGAUAUGUUAUAUGAUAGGAGGAGAUAGGAUGGGACGGGGUAGGAUAUGAUAGGAUGGGAGGGGAUGGGAUAAGAUAUGAUAAGAAGGGAUGGGAUGUAUGGAUGGAUAAAAAAAAAUCUCAGAGCUACACAUAACGUCGGCGCUGGCCCUUUAAAACAGGCCAUGGCUUGAGUGUUACGUCACACCUAUCAAACUACAAGGAAGCACAGCAUGUGAGAGAAGCUCACUAAAUCUAUAAAUGGAUUAAAGUAAACAGACUGAACGCUAAGGUUGGUUUCUCGUUAAGUGUAUGUAGUACGCUGAAGGUGAAGGUGAAGCACUGUUAGCACAGCUAGCUAACUCAAACACAUGUAACCUGGUUAGACGAGUGAGUGCAGUAGAGACAUCCCAAAUUCACCCUAGUCCUCACUGAAGUGCACUACAUAGGGUAUGAACUAAUAGGAUUAUAGUUAUAUAUGUGUCAUGGUUGAUACGGAGAGAUUUGGGAUUUAACCUUAUGGAUAUACAAACUCUCAAGCGACAACAGACUGACCUUAACAGGAAGUCCACUACAGAGUUUACAGACCUCAAAGCAGUGACUGGAUAGCUGGAAUCAGAUGGCUAACUUUCAUGCCAAUGACCCAGAGACCUCUCUGAACAAAGCUUUAUCACAAUCAGGGUCACAGUGGACCUGGGGCUUAUACCAGGUACACUGGGCACAAAGCUGGAGAAUUCAUCCCAGAUGGGAUGCAAAAUGCAACAGAUGCUUUUAGCAUUCUUUUUUGGUUAAUUUUGGGAAACAUUUUACAUGAAGACAACAUAGUUUAUCACAAGAAGGUGUAUACCAAUUACACAAGAAUUAACACUAUGGUCUGUUGGGGGACCUAUACACUGACAAAGAAAUGAUCAUUCUAUAAUUUUAAUGGUAGAUUUAUUUGAAAUUAGGCCAUUCCAGACCUUAAUCCCAUAGAAAAUCUGUGGAGGGAGCUGAAGGUUUGAGUUGCCAAACGUCAGCCUCGAAACCUUAAUGACUUGGAGAAGAUCUGCAAAGAGGAGUUGGACAAAAUCCCUCCUGAGAUGUGUGCAAACCUGGUGGCUAACUACAAGAAACAUCUGACCUCUGUGAUUCCCAACAAGGGUUUUGCCACCAAGUACUAAGUCAUGUUUUGCAGAGGGGUCAAAUACUUAUUUCCCUCAUUAAAAUGCAAAUCAAUUUAUAAAAUUUUUGACAUGCGUUUUUCUGGAUUUUCUUGUUGUUAUUCUGUCUCUCACUGUUCAAAUAAAUCUACCAUUAAAAUUAUAGACUGAUCAUUUCUUUGUCAGUGGGCAAACGUACAAAAUCAGCAGGGGAUCAAAUACUUCUUUCCCUCACUGUAUACACUAUGUUGAUUUGAUUAUCUAACAUCUGCAGAUGUGUUGUUAUAUAUAUUCAUCAACUUUUAGAAAGCUGCUCAUUUCUGCUCUUAGAAUAACAAAUUGGAAACAAGUGGAAUAGAUUGUGAAGAGAAUAAUAUACAGUAUAAAUACAGUGUGUUCCAAAAGUCUCCACACAUAGGGGAAAUUAACACUUUU